ACACACACGUGUUUACAAACCUGCUGCCUGUGACAACUUGUGCUACAAACGCCAACGUCCCUUGCCUUAACAGAACAGAGGUAUCCAAUUUUUGCGGAGAACUCCUCACCCCAAGAGCUCCAGAAUUAUUAUUGAGGACAUGACCUCCUUCAUUGCUCCAACUGCCGCAGUAACAUUUACAAGCAUUAUAUGGAGCAGAAUAUCAGCUGCCGUGUGUGAGACCUCUGCGUGUAUGGACACAGCUUGUUGAUGCUGCAGACAGCAGAGACUUGACAGUGUGGGCAGAGUGACAUGACAUCUUGUCCCCUCUCUAAUUAUGACAGACCAUGGAUGUCCAUGGAGACCAUGAAGCUCUCUGCUGGAUGGAGGCCGUGUUGAGGGCAGCUGUGAAAACCAGCCUUGUACCGUAUUCAACAAACAUCCACCCAUCCAUCCAUCAUCCACACCGCUUAUCCUUUAAGGGCUGCAGGGAGCUGGAGCCAAUCUCAACUGACAUUGGGCGAAAGGUGGCGUACACCCCGGACAGAUCGCCAUGUAUUCAACAAACAAUCAGCCAUUAGCCCAGAAUGAACCAGAAACACUUGAUGAAUGAGUGACACGGUGCAAGCAGAUGUUCCAACAGCUGUCUUCAGAUGGUCUGCCACCUACAUAGAGAAAAACCGUAUGUCUCCACAGGACUGUUUGUUUCAUGCACAUAAACACAGUCAAGAUGUUUUUAUUUUCUUAAUUUUCUGAGUCUAAAAUUGGGUUUCUUGAGUAAUUGAAAGAUUAGGUUUCAGUGAAUUUGUUCAAGUUCAGACCGACUUUAGUACUGUGUGUAAAAAAAAUAAAAAUUUUAAAAAAUCGCAGCCUCCUCAUUUAUCUGA